CGAAAGCCUGACGGAGCAACGCCGCGUGUGGGAAGAAGGCUCUUGGGCUGUCAACCACUUUUCUCAGGGAAGAAGAUCUGACGGUACCUGAGGAAUCAGCCUCGGCUAACUCCGUGCCAGCAGCCGCGGUAAUACGGAGGAGGCAAGCGUUAUCCGGAAUUAUUGGGCGUAAAGCGUCCGCAGGGGGCACAUCAAGUCUGCUGUCAAAGCUCGGAGCUCAACUCCGACCCGGCAGUGGAAACUGGGGAGCUAGAGGGCGGCAGGGGCAGAAGGAAUUCCCGGUGUAGCGGUGAAAUGCGUAGAGAUUGGGAAGAACACCGGUGGCGAAAGCGCUCUACUGGGUCGCACCUGACCCUCAGGGACGAAAGCUAAGGGAGCG
rnacentral:rRNA from 1 species